rnacentral:rRNA from 1 species
AUUGAACGCUGGCGGCAGGCCUAACACAUGCAAGUCGAACGAGUGGCGGACGGGUGAGUAAUGUCUGGGAAACUGCCUGAUGGAGGGGGAUAACUAGUGGAAACGGUCGCUAAUACCGUAUACCAUGAGGUGCGCCCAGAUGGGAUUAGCUUGUUGGGGGGGUAACGGUUCACCAAGGCGACGAUCCCUAUCUGGUCUGAGGGGAUGACCAGCCAGACUGGAACUGAGACACGGUCCAGACUCCUACGGGAGGCAGCAGUGGGGAAUAUUGCACAAUGGGCGCAAGCCUGAUGCAGCCAUGCCGCGUGUAUGAAGAAGGCCCUCGGGUUGUAAAGUACUUUCAGCGGGGAGGCGUUACCCGCAGAAGAAGCACCGGCUAACUCCGUGCCAGCAGCCGCGGUAAUUC